GUGACUUUUGGAGCUGAGAUUCUCCUUCCAUUUGUUCUCAUUGUGAUUGAUUUACUCUGAUGUCGUGGAUUGUGAAUUGAUUUCCUUCCAUUCUUGGAGCCGGCUUUCUUUAUCCUUCCGACAUUAGCAGUCUUCAAUAUCCUGCAAAGAUACACUUGUUAUUUUGUCAUUAUUAAAAUGUAGACUUAGGAGGCUAACACUAACUUGGUUCACAAAGCCAUGAAGAAGGUGAAAAUGAUUAGAUAAAGACUUGAGACUUCUCA
rnacentral:lncRNA from 1 species